GGAGGUACAGCUGCUUACACAUCUCUCCUCAGAGCUGUCCCUUGACUUGGGGGUGAAUUUCAGGCCAACAGGGCUUCCUGGGAUACAAGAGCGUUCUCCAUGGAUCUGCCUUACUACCAUGGACGUCUGACCAAGCAAGACUGUGAGACCUUGCUGCUCAAGGAAGGGGUGGAUGGCAACUUUCUUUUAAGAGACAGCGAGUCGAUACCAGGAGUCCUGUGCCUCUGUGUCUCACUGCAGAAGGUUCUCCAAAACAGGUCUUUCCAAGCCUAAAGGAACUGAUCUCCAAAUUUGAAAAACCAAAUCAGGGGAUGGUGGUUCACCUUUUAAAGCCAAUAAAGAGAACCAGCCCCAGCUUGAGAUGGAGAGGAUUGAAAUUAGAGUUGGAAACAUUUGUGAACAGUAACAGCGAUUAUGUGGAUGUCUUGCCUUGAAGAUAAGGCUGCCGGACAAAGCAAGUUGAAGAGAUGAGUAACAGUUCUCACUGAUGACCCACUUCUGCAGGCAUAGGUCCAGAGCACCAAACUCUAGUGGACAAUUCAGACUCUCCUGGUUGUGUAACUGAAGAUGUUCUGCCCACCAGCACCAGAGGUCACUCUCCACAUCCCCGCCUCCCAGACAUAUACCAGGAGCAAUUUCAAAACCCUCUCCAGUUUCACUCUUCUUUCUUGGAAUGGGACAGCCUGAACAUUUUCCCUUUGACUUGUUAAAGGUACCACCCUACAUCAUGGUUGACACCCUCCUUUGGACCAUGCAGUCAGAGGGGCAGCUUUAUACAGAGGAGGGGCACACUUGUCUGUGAGUUUGAAGCCCUGAGUUCCAGUCCUGUGGCUGUGUGACUUUGAACACGUUUCUGCCCAUCUCCAGGUCUUAGUUUCUUUGUCUCUGUGGUUGGGUGGGAUGAUAAACAUUGCCCCAGUCUCUCUGUUGAGCCUGCUUGUGUCAGGUGAAGGUGAGGGAUCGGGAGUGAUGGAGAUGCAUACAGAUCAGCACCUUCUCUGUACCUGCUGGACCCCCAUGUGCACCCUUCUCCCUCCAGCCUGGGCUACUCUCCUCCUGGUUCUUUCUAAUCUUAAACUUCCUGGUGAGCAUUGCCCCAGCCACACUUUCUCCCUGGUUUUGCUUAAUUCCACUUAUGCAUCAGUCAUUUCAACAGCAUGAAUGUGGUUCUGUACAGUGAUGUAUGUGGAGAUUUCUAAAAUAUUCUAUGUGUGAUUUCUGUUCCCAACUAGGUUCUAAGUGCCAUCAAAGCACGGUUGGGUCUCCCUUGUAUCUUCCACAGUGUGUAGAAAUUUGUGCUGCCCAGAGCUGUGCCUAGUUCAUAGAAACUGACUGGAAGCACAUUGCUGAGGGAGGUUUGUUGAAUUGGUUUUUAAGGUUUACUGAAAUUGAUUUGCUGAAUUUUUCUGCUAGUUCAAAAUGUGAAUUAGGACCUGGUCAGUUUGAAAUAUACCAAAUUCUAUGCCCUUUCUCUUACCUAUCAUCAAAUUGUAGUAAUGUAUUUCACCCCACUGGACUUAUCUUCAGAGUUUUAAAAGAGAGGAGCUCUCGACUUAGAGGUAAUAUGAACAGAUGAACAGACACUGUGGCUGGAGCCCCAAAGUGUGGAGCAUUGUGAGAUUUGGGGUCACAGCAAUUUAUGGCUACUAUUCCCUGGGUCUGGUAGGUAGGACAAAUGUCCUCUUUUACUUUUCAAAACUGGCUUAGGUAUUCAUGGACCUUGAUUCUUCUAUAUACAUUUUAUAAUAAAUACGUGAAAUUGCUUAAAACCUCUUUUUGGAAUUUUUAAUGAACUUGCAACAAAUUUGUAAAUAGGAGAGAACUGACGUUCUUGUGAUGUUUUCCCAUGCAUAAACAUGCCACAUCCAUGUUCUUGGGUCAUCUUUUUUGCCCUUUCAUGGAGUCAUAAAUUUUCCCAACUGAAGUCUUGUAUAUUCUGUUAGAUUAAUUCCUAUUUCUAGUUGCUGUAAAUGAUAUCUUAUGUUUUAUUACAUUUCUAAUAGGAUAUGGUGUUGGUGAAAUGUUAACCCUCUCAUUAGAUCUACUAGUUUACCUGUUGAUUCUAUUGUGUUUUCUAUGUAAAUGAUUUUGUCAGCUAUAAAUAAUAACAUUUUAUUUUCUCUUUCCUUGCAAUACCUAUGCUCAUUUAUUUUUUAUGUUUACCCAUUGGUUAGGGCCUCCUGUAUACAUUAAACAGUUCAUAGUCAUGAUAGUGAGUAUUCUUACACUGUUCCCAGUAUUACAGGGAAUGCUUAGAAAUUUUCUUUAUUUAAACAUUAUGUUUGUUGUAGCCUUGUUAAAGGCUAUUUUAUAAUUUUUACUAGAAAUAUUUUGACAUUUAUUGUGAUUUUUUUCUAUCUCUAAUCUAUUGAGAUAGUCACAUUCCUUUUGUCUUCACUCCAUUAUAAAGGUAAGUUACCUUAAUAAAAUUGUU
rnacentral:lncRNA from 1 species